AUGCCGUCCGCAGACAUAGCUGUAGUUUCAAUCCUGUCUACCAUGAAACUGCUGUUUAAGAUGGACGGUGUCACUCAUGUAGCCAGCGUGGAGCUGUGGGUGUUGAUGACAACGCUGCUGCUUGUGGUGAGGUUCCUGCUGGACUGCUUCGGGCCGUGGCACACGGACAGGGCCAUGUCGACCACCAUCCAAGUCAUCGAGAUGCUCAACUACUCCAUGGUGCACUACACCAUGGGCCUGAUGCAGCUCUCGGCCAAGAGGGUGAACGACUACUUUCAGGUAUGGGCGGUGCUGCUGGUAACCCUGCAGCACAGCGUCAAGACUGGGCGCCUGUACCAGAGGUCCAAGCAGAUCCCAUUGCUCGACCUCAUGUCCUCUUUCUGGGCAGCCAAUCUCCUCCGAAUGCAGACAUUCUUCCUCCUCAGGAUUCCCCUAUGGAUGAUCUGGGCCCUCAACGCGACCCGCAUCAUCGCAUACUUUGCCUCAUCCGACGGGGCUCAGACCAUCAACCAAGAGAACACGAGGCUCGUUAGCGACUAUAUGCGAUACGAGCACACACUCGGUCCCUCUCCCUCUUGUGAUGCAACCGCCUCCGACAAUGGGAUCAGUACGCAGUCGUACAGGUACUUGGUCUAUGGGGAAGACAAGGUGCUGCAUGACUCCCAACGGGGGAGGAGAACUGCAUCAGCGCAGUACAGGAUUCGGUUGGAUACAGAUAAUAAGAAGCUUGUCACCUUAGACAAGAUAUGGAAUGUUGAUGCUGGCAGCAGUGGGUUGCUGGGCGGUAGCAAUGACGCUGGCAACCGAUUGAAGGAUGUCUGCCUCUCAUUUGCAAUGUACAAGCUGCUGCGCCGUCGGUUCUAUAAUCUCCCGAUACACGAGGCUAGCCUAAAGAAGACAAGGCAGCUCGUCUUCGGCUACAUCCUGCAAGAGAAGAGAGACAAUUAUGAGAGGGCGUUCCGCAUCAUGGAGGUGGAAUUGUCCUUCCUCCAAGACUUGUUCUAUAGCAAGCAUUCCGCUAUGUUUGCUGACGGAUUUCCAUACAGGAGAAUGCUCAUGUCUUUGUCUCUUGUUGCUGCUACCGGCUACCUUGUAUAUCCUGUCCGUCAUAUACCAGAGAGGAUGGAUCAAGCAGACAAAAAUAUCAUCACUCACGGGGUGAUUGUCACUCGCAUCAUAGUUGGUCUUAUCAUUGCCAAGGAGCUGUCAGAGGUCUAUCUAUAUGUAUUCUCUCAAUGGAACAAGGUUUUGAUGAUCUGUAUGUACGUCAAGCAUCGGUGCUGGCGGAAUCUGAUAGUGGAGGCAGUAAUGCGAACAAUGUUCUGGUUCAUCAGGGGCAAGUGGGAUCAAAGGAUCUUCCAGUAUAACCUUCUGAUUUCGGAUUCGCAUCGUUGGAACAAAUUUCACAGAAUAUUCAGGUUGGCCAAAUUUCCCAGAAGAAUGAAGCUGGAGCCAGAGGUAAAGACAGCGAUAUUUGAGUCGUUCAAGGGCCUGCAGCAUCCAGAAAGAAAGUUGGAAACCUACUUAUUAAAUGCCUUCGGAUCAAACGAGGCCCUUAUGCAGCAGCUAAGAAGGGCAAAUGGGCCGGAGUCAAAGGAAUCCCUUAUGCAGCAGCUAACAGGGGCAAAUGAUACCCACAGCAUACUGGUCUGGCACAUCGCAACAUGCUUGUGCGAGAUACAUACCUCCGAUGAAGCGAAAAAACCGAAGGUUAGAUGGCUUCAAAACAGGCUCUUGGCCAAGAAAUCAACAACUCCAGAAGAUGUGUGGCCACAUUACUUAACUGCUGUCAGCUUAUCGAAUUAUUGUGCAUACCUGCUUACCAUAGCAUUGGUGCCAGACAACGGCAUUGUUGUUAGAAAGGUCUUGCAUGCGGUGCGUUGUGAAAUCUAUCAUGCUACUGGUCGCUCUGCAUCCCAUUCCCAGUCGAUGCAAAAUGUUUACAGAAAACUUAUCGAGAUUGCCACGAAGCCCUCUAAAGAGUCCAAGCAGGAAGUGCCCAGUGGAAUGGUGAGUAUCAAUAUUAAUGGAGAGGUUGGCCCAUAUUUUAAGAGCUACAAAGGAUUUUUUCAGGGUGAUCUCACCUCUUCUUUUGAGACCUCCGUCGCCUUGCAACUGUUCGACGGUUUGCCUAGGUAA
rnacentral:rRNA from 1 species